UCCGUUAUGUUAUGGUGUAGUGGCUAACAUUAUUGCCUCUCGUACUGUUCUACAUUUGUCCACUGAAUAAAGGACGCGAUAGCCCAGGGUUCGAUUCCCUGUAACGGAA